ensembl:lncRNA
ACUCAGCCCAUUUGACCAUGGGAAGGGAAAUGAGAUGAAGAACGAGGAGAAAGAGCAAGAGGGUGAAUGCAAAAGCAGAAGGCACCCACUGCUCUGUCCUUGCCUGGCUUUUGAUGCUCUUUCUCUGGCUCUUGGACCUGCAAGUUUAAGCCCACUCUGAACUACUAGAGAGAAAAAUUCUGCUUUGGGACUCACUGAUCUCAAGCCACUGCACAGAGCAGUCCCUGGAACAGCUUUCUGAUGGAAGGUCAAGAGUGAUCUCCUGUUGGCCAUUUAACAAGAGGUGGAGUGAGAUUGAGAUCUCCGAGGCCUUGAACAUUCAGCCUUCUCCUUUCUCCAGCCUAUUUGCUUUUCAUUUUCACAUUAUGUAUGAGAUUAGAUCCUCCGAUAAAAAUACUCACUGUGGAAGUAUUGUCCGAAGUGGAUACUCUGACAACCAUGGCCAGUAUCCCUUCAGAAGUAUCAGGAUGCUCACAAGCUGAUUUUUAGAGAGAAUAAAAGCAACAAGGUGCUCUGAAGAGAGAAGCAGUAAAUACUGUG